ACAGUUUGCAUUGUGACAUCGUGGAGACAGGUUGCUGCUGGCAUCUAAUGGUCAAGAGGUUAAGAGUUUUCUUUGGCUGGUGGCAGAUGAGGAGGUCAGAGAGAUUCAAAGCAUGAGAAGGAUUUGGCAUGUCCUUGCUGGCUUUGAAGAUAGAGGGACCACACUCAAGGACCAGAGAGAAGCCACAGUUGCUGACAGUGACCCUUCACCAACAGCCAGCAAGGAAAUGGACCUCAGCCCUGUGGCUGCAUGAAACUGAAUUCUGCCAGCAACCCCCAAAGAACUUGGAAGUGUGUUCUUUCCCACAGCACCCAGAUGAGAGCCCAGCCAAGCUGACACCCUGAUUUCAGCCCCUGAGUAGAGAAUCCAGUAGAGUCUGCCUGAACUUCUGACCCAUAGAAAUGUGAGAUAAUAAAAGGGUGUUGUUUUAAACCAUUAAAUUUCUAGUAAUUCAUCACAAAGCAAUAGAAAACUAAUACACUCCAUUAAGGUGUCAGCUAGUAAUUCCUCAAGUGCUUUUUAUUAGGAGCUCUGGAGGUAGACAAACUUAAACAUGCAAAUGUAUGAAUCUCUAUUUUAAGCACCUGGUUGAAGAGGAAGAUAUUUUGGGUUAAGAGGUAUGUCUGGCAUCUUAUUUUCAUUUAUUUAUUUAUUUAGAGAUGGAGUCUCACUCUGUCACCCAGGCUGGGGUGCAGUGGUAUGAUCUCGGCUCACUGCAACCUCCGCCUCCCAUAUUCAAGCGAUUCUCCUGCCUCAGCUUAUUGAAUAGCUGGGAUUACAGGCAUGUGCCACCACACCCAGC
rnacentral:lncRNA from 10 species